rnacentral:rRNA from 1 species
AGAGUUUGAUCCUGGCUCAGGAUGAACGCUAGCUACAGGCUUAACACAUGCAAGUCGAGGGGAAACGACAUCGAAAGCUUGCUUUUGAUGGGCGUCGACCGGCGCACGGGUGAGUAACGCGUAUCCAACCUGCCCACCACUUGGGGAUAACCUUGCGAAAGUAAGACUAAUACCCAAUGAUAUCUCUAGAAGACAUCUGAAAGAGAUUAAAGAUUUAUCGGUGAUGGAUGGGGAUGCGUCUGAUUAGCUUGGUUGGCGGGGUAACGGCCCACCAAGGCGACGAUCAGUAGGGGUUCUGGAGAGGAACGGUCCCCCANAUUGGAACUGAGACACGGUCCAAACUCCUACGGGAGGCA